AUACGGAGGACGCGAGCGUUAUCCGGAUUUAUUGGGUUUAAAGGGUGCGCAGGCGGCCGUGCAAGUCAGCGGUGAAAGCCCGGGGCUCAACCCCGGAAGUGCCGUUGAUACUGCGUGGCUGGAAUGCGGUCGAGGCGGGCGGAACGUGGCGGGUAGCGGUGGAAUGCGUAGAUAUGCCACAGAACGCCGAUGGCGGAGGCAGCUCGCCAGGCCUGCAUUGACGCUCGGGCACGAAAGCGUGGGGAUCGAACAGGAUUAGAUACCCUGGUAGUCCACGCCGUAAACGAUGGGCGCUCGUCGUCGGCGACAGACAGUCGGCGGCCAAGCGAAAGCGAUAAGCGCCCCACCUGGGGAGUACGGUCGCAAGGCUGAAACUCAAAUGAAUUGACGGGG
rnacentral:rRNA from 1 species